AUUAAUAACAGACCAGUGAGCCUCCUGAUCCAACAAGAGCAUAUGGUGUUUUUCACAAAAGAGGGAGAGACCAUUCCCUUGACUUUGGACUUCGCUUAUUGAACCUCUGAACAGAAUCAAGGUUGCUAAGAGACCACCUGCGCUGAAUGCACUUUGUUCUAGCAAGAGCAGACUAAGAGAAAACUGAGGAGCAGUGUUACCUACCACUGCCUGGGAUUAACUCAGGGAGCAGGAGUAUUCUGGAUAUGACUGGUAAAAACUGGAUAUUAAUUUCCACUACUACUUCCAAAAGUCUGGAAGAUGAAAUUGUGGGAAGACUUCUAAAAAUUUUGUUUGUCAUCUUUGUUGACUUAAUGUCUAUUAUGUAUGUUGUUAUAACUUCUUAGAAAGCUGAUUUCCUUUACUUUACAUGUAAAUUUCAAAUUGAAUUCCAGUGAAUAAAAAUUUGUAUUUUAAUAUAUUGAGUGAUUUCAAUUUGAUGACAUCGCCAAUGUAUUCUAGAAGCCAACAGGAUAUUACGUUAAAAACAACAUUGUGUAUUGUUUCAUACUUUACAGCUUAUAAAACAUUCAUAUAAAUCAAAGUGGAAAUUUUUUUCCCAAAAAAUCUAUCUUAUAGAGUCAUCAAACUUCCAAUUUUAACAUAGUUGUUAUUUGGUGUAUUGACUAAUAUUUAUAGGUGAAAUUAUGUGUGAAGUUGAUUUUUUAAGGAUGUGUACUUUUGUGAAAUUUUGUAUCAUUCUAUUUUUAACAUACCAAAUUUAAUAUCCCAGGAGCAUAAUCUUUAUAUACAAUAUACCAGUAGUUUAUGCCCAUUUUCUUAUACAAAUAUUUCAUCUGUUUUCAGGUAGAUUGUUUUUCUUAACCCUGGGGCAAUUAAACAAGUGAGAAUAUUUAUACCGACAAAGACUUAGAGUUUGGAAGGAAACACUUAAAAGACAUCCUUUUAGGAAAACAGAACUUAUAAGCAAGGAGAGAAAACAGGGUAUAAGCUGAGUU